AACCUGCGGAAGGAUCAUUACUGUGAUUUACUACUACACUGCGUGAGCGGAACGAAAACAACAACACCUAAAAUGUGGAAUAUAGCAUAUAGUCGACAAGAGAAAUCUACGAAAAAACAAACAAAACUUUCAACAACGGAUCUCUUGGUUCUCGCAUCGAUGAAGAGCGCAGCGAAAUGCGAUACCUAGUGUGAAUUGCAGCCAUCGUGAAUCAUCGAGUUCUUGAACGCACAUUGCGCCCCUCGGCAUUCCGGGGGGCAUGCCUGUUUGAGCGUCGUUUCCAUCUUGCGCGUGCGCAGAGUUGGGGGAGCGGAGCGGACGACGUGUAAAGAGCGUCGGAGCUGCGACUCGCCUGAAAGGGAGCGAAGCUGGCCGAGCGAACUAGACUUUUUUUCAGGGACGCUUGGCGGCCGAGAGCGAGUGUUGCGAGACAACAAAAAGCUCGACCUCAAAUCAGGUAGGAAUACCCGCUGAACUUAAGCAUAUCAAUAAGCGGA
rnacentral:rRNA from 1 species